rnacentral:SRP_RNA from 1 species
GCAUCGGUUCCGCGCGACGUUUUCCCGCCAACCCCGCCAGGUCCGGAAGGAAGCAACGGUAACGGGCUCUUUCGUGUGCAGUGGAGCGCCGGUGCCUG